rnacentral:rRNA from 1 species
GGCGGCAGGCCUAACACAUGCAAGUCGAGCGCGAAAGUUCUUCGGAAUGAGUAAAGCGGCGGACGGGUGAGUAAUACAUGGGAAUCUGCCUGGUAGUGGGGGACAACGUUUCGAAAGGAACGCUAAUACCGCAUACGCCCUACGGGGGAAAGGGGGGGAUCUUCGGACCUCUCGCUAUCAGAUGAGCCCAUGUCGGAUUAGCUNGUUGGUGGGGUAAAGGCUCACCAAGG